UAAUGUCAUGGUGUUGCAUUUUGUGAUGUUACAUGUUUUUACUUACAUUGUAUAUAUGACUUAGUUAUGUGCUUUACUAUCAAGUUUCCUCUUAUCUUUACAUUUUGUAUUGUGUGAUUUGAUAUAUUUUAAGAAAUGCGUAUGACAAGUAAUCGAGAAGCGGGUUUAGGUUUAAGUAUUUUGGUUGAUAGAAGUUAGGUUGCAUUUAUUGUUUAAUUUUAAAAUAAAUGAUUUUAUCACGUAAUGUUAAAAGAUGACUUUGUUAGGUCUAAAAUGCAUAAACAAGUUUCAUGUCCAAAAUAUCGUUUAAUAGAGUUAUAAAUAGAGUCGAGUUAUCAGGAGUUGGAAGUGUCUUUCGAAGGAAUCAAAGUACUUAAGAAAAUCAAGACGAAGACAAAACUGCUCAUUGGCCCCCUGCUCGAGCGAUUUUUGCAGUGACUUAACUGCUCGCUGAGCGACACAUGAUUGCUCAAGCAUUCAUGCUAAUUGGUGAAACCUUAAUUCACGAUUUUGAUAGUUUUACAAUCCCAAACAACUUCAAACACUUUAUAUUAGAAAUAUCCAAGUCAUACUUUGUCCCUAUGGUGUGUUGAGACUUUAUUUAUUCAAGAAAUCAUAUAGAAAAUCAAACAUCAAUUCUAUAAUUCUCUUGAGUCAACCACAAGAUCAAAAGCAUUAAAAUAUCAAAAGAUCAACCACCAACAAAAAUAUUAAUCAAAUAGCCUUUAAAGUUCUAAAAAUUGGAAUAGGUAUUUGGAGUUUUAGUUUGUAAAAUACCGAGUCCGUUCUUGAUGGUGAAUUUCAGCGGAAAAUACUGAAGAGCGCAAUAGAAGAGUUUUUCAGUGGUUGCAACUUGGGUGGUAAGAAUUUACUAAGGUUGAGUUGUGUAUGGCCCACUGUAAAUUUAAUCUUUUCUGGUGGAUCUUUUAUUGGCAAUGAGUGCCUAGAUUUUUUUUUAUCUCUUGAAGAAUUCUUCAAGGAGUUGUUGACCUAUGGUUGAUUCUACGUUUUGAUUAUAACAAUCAAAUUGUUUUUCUCUAACAUUUGAAUUUGAGUUGUUAUAGCUAUUGUGGCAAAGUUGAUCAAUUGAAAACAAAAAGGUCACUAUCAACAGAUUGGCAAAUUGACGUCCAAUGAAAAUAGAGAUGGAAGCCGAGCAUAGACGCCAAAUCUAUCACGACAAGCACAUCAACGUCAAACAUCAAAGAUAUUAGAUUUAGAAAUUUUGGAUUCAUAUGUGAAGGUAAAAUGCUUUAAUCCUUAGCAAUUAAUCAUUAAAAGCUCGAGAUAAAUUUUUAUGUAAAGAAAAAUGAAUUCUUAAAACUGCUUGCAUAAAAUUAUUUUUUAAAAGGUAAGAAUCUCAACUUGAUAUUCAAACUUCUUACAAAUAUCACUUACCUUGAAAAAUUAAGUGAAAACAUCCUUCAAAGAUCUACAUUUUUCAAAACAAUCAAAGAAGGAAAAAUUCGAAAAAACAUUGUCCAAAUGGAAGUCCAGUUGGCCUAGCAGACAUCUGGUUUAUCCAACGUUCGAAUUUUAACCGUUCUGAUAUUUUGACGCACAACUACUAGUUCAUUGUCCAAUUCAGAAGAGAACGUCUGAUUGAGUCGUCCGGGUUGGUCAAAACUUUUGACAUUUUAACUAAUAUAAAUAUCACCUCAAUAACAAACUUUUAUAAGCAUUAAAGUGAGAUACUCUUGAG
rnacentral:lncRNA from 1 species